UGAGGUAGUAGAUUGUUUAGUUGUGAGGUAGUGAUUUUACCUUGUUUGGGAGAUAACUAUGCAAUCUAUUGCCUUCC
rnacentral:pre_miRNA from 1 species